UGNNGGNGUGACUAAAACAUGCAAGUCGAACGGCACCUUUCGGGGUGUAGUGGCGGACGGCUGAGUAACACGUGGGUGACCUGCCUUCGAGCGGGGGAUAACUGCCCGAAAGGGUGGCUAAUACCGCANAUGUCUGCUCUUCGGUGAGCAGACUGAACUUGAGGGGUUCGAAGAUGGGCAUGCGUCCNAUUAGCUAGUUGGCGGGGUAACGGCCCACCAAGGCGACGAUCGGUAGGGGGUCUGAGAGGAUGAUCCCCCACACUGGUACUGAGACACGGACCAGACUCCUACGGGAGGCAGCAGUAAGGAAUAUUGGACAAUGGUCGCAAGACUGAUCCAGCCAUGCCGCGUGCAGGAUGAACGAUCUAUGAUCUGUAAACUGC
rnacentral:rRNA from 1 species